rnacentral:rRNA from 1 species
UGGGGAAUAUUGCACAAUGGGGGAAACCCUGAUGCAGCGACGCCGCGUGGAGGAAGAAGGUUUUCGGAUUGUAAACUCCUGUUGUUGAGGAAGAUAAUGACGGUACUCAACAAGGAAGUGACGGCUAACUACGUGCCAGCAGCCGCGGUAAAACGUAGGUCACAAGCGUUGUCCGGAAUUACUGGGUGUAAAGGGAGCGCAGGCGGGCGAUCAAGUUGGAAGUGAAAUCCAUGGGCUCAACCCAUGAACUGCUUUCAAAACUGAUUGUCUUGAGUAGUGCAGAGGUAGGCGGAAUUCCCGGUGUAGCGGUGGAAUGCGUAGAUAUCGGGAGGAACACCAGUGGCGAAGGCGGCCUACUGGGCACCAACUGACGCUGAGGCUCGAAAGUGUGGGUAGCAAACAGGAUUAGAUACCCUGGUAGUCCACACCGUAAACGAUGAUUACUAGGUGUUGGAGGAUUGACCCCUUCAGUGCCGCAGUUAACACAAUAAGUAAUCCACCUGGGGAGUACGACCGCAAGGUUGAAACUCAAAGGAAUUGACGGGGGCCCGCACAAGCAGUGGAGUAUGUGGUUUAAUUCGACGCAACGCGAAGAACCUUACCAAGUCUUGACAUCCUGCGACGAUGCUAGAAAUAGUAUUUUCCUUCGGGACGCAGAGACAGGUGGUGCAUGGUUGUCGUCAGCUCGUGUCGUGAGAUGUUGGGUUAAGUCCCGCAACGAGCGCAACCCUUAUGGUCAGUUACUACACAAGAGGACUCUGGCCAGACUGCCGUUGACAAAACGGAGGAAGGUGGGGAUGACGUCAAAUCAUCAUGCCCUUUAUGACUUGGGCUACACACGUACUACAAUGGCGUUAAACAAAGAGAAGCAAGACCGCGAGGUGGAGCAAAACUCAGAAACAACGUCCCAGUUCGGACUGCAGGCUGCAACUCGCCUGCACGAAGUCGGAAUUGCUAGUAAUCGUGGAUCAGCAUGCCACGGUGAAUACGUUCCC